rnacentral:rRNA from 1 species
CGCCUUAUACUCCUACGGGAGGCAGCAGUGGGGAAUAUUGCACAAUGGGCGCAAGCCUGAUGCAGCCAUGCCGCGUGUAUGAAGAAGGCCUUCGGGUUGUAAAGUACUUUCAGCGGGAGGAAGGGAGUAAAGUUAAUACCUUUGCUCAUUGACGUUACCCGCAGAAGAAGCACCGGCUAACUCCGUGCCAGCAGCCGCGGUAAUACGGAGGGUGCAAGCGUUAAUCGGAAGUACUGGGCGUAAAGCGCACGCAGGCGGUUUGUUAAGUCAGAUGUGAAAUCCCCUGGCUCAACCUGGGAACUGCAUCUGAUACUGGCAAGCUUGAGUCUCGUAGAGGGGGGUAGACUUCCAGGUGUAGCGGUGAAAUGCGUAGAGAUGUGGAGGAAUACCGGUGGCGAAGGCGGCCCCCUGGACGAAGACUGACGCUCAGGUGCGAAAGCGUGGGGAGCAAACAGGAUUAGAUACCCCGGUAGUCCACGUACCA